rnacentral:rRNA from 1 species
UCCUGACUGACCGAUAGUGAACCAGUACCGUGAGGGAAAGGCGAAAAGAACCCCGGCGAGGGGAGUGAAAAAGAACCUGAAACCGUGUACGUACAAGCAGUGGGAGCACGCUUAGGCGUGUGACUGCGUACCUUUUGUAUAAUGGGUCAGCGACUUAUAUUCUGUAGCAAGGUUAACCGAAUAGGGGAGCCGAAGGGAAACCGAGUCUUAACUGGGCGUUAAGUUGCAGGGUAUAGACCCGAAACCCGGUGAUCUAGCCAUGGGCAGGUUGAAGGUUGGGUAACACUAACUGGAGGACCGAACCGACUAAUGUUGAAAAAUUAGCGGAUGACUUGUGGCUGGGGGUGAAAGGCCAAUCAAACCGGGAGAUAGCUGGUUCUCCCCGAAAGCUAUUUAGGUAGCGCCUCGUGAAUUCAUCUCCGGGGGUAGAGCACUGUUUCGGCAAGGGGGUCAUCCCGACUUACCAACCCGAUGCAAACUGCGAAUACCGGAGAAUGUUAUCACGGGAGACACACGGCGGGUGCUAACGUCCGUCGUGAAGAGGGAAACAACCCAGACCGCCAGCUAAGGUCCCAAAGUCAUGGUUAAGUGGGAAACGAUGUGGGAAGGCCCAGACAGCCAGGAUGUUGGCUUAGAAGCAGCCAUCAUUUAAAGAAAGCGUAAUAGCUCACUGGUCGAGUCGGCCUGCGCGGAAGAUGUAACGGGGCUAAACCAUGCACCGAAGCUGCGGCAGCGAUGCUUAUGCGUUGUUGGGUAGGGGAGCGUUCUGUAAGCCUGCGAAGGUGUGCUGUGAGGCAUGCUGGAGGUAUCAGAAGUGCGAAUGCUGACAUAAGUAACGAUAAAGCGGGUGAAAAGCCCGCUCGCCGGAAGACCAAGGGUUCCUGUCCAACGUUAAUCGGGGCAGGGUGAGUCGACCCCUAAGGCGAGGCCGAAAGGCGUAGUCGAUGGGAAACAGGUUAAUAUUCCUGUACUUGGUGUUACUGCGAAGGGGGGACGGAGAAGGCUAUGUUGGCCGGGCGACGGUUGUCCCGGUUUAAGCGUGUAGGCUGGUUUUCCAGGCAAAUCCGGAAAAUCAAGGCUGAGGCGUGAUGACGAGGCACUACGGUGCUGAAGCAACAAAUGCCCUGCUUCCAGGAAAAGCCUCUAAGCAUCAGGUAACAUCAAAUCGUACCCCAAACCGACACAGGUGGUCAGGUAGAGAAUACCAAGGCGCUUGAGAGAACUCGGGUGAAGGAACUAGGCAAAAUGGUGCCGUAACUUCGGGAGAAGGCACGCUGAUAUGUAGGUGAAGUCCCUUGCGGAUGGAGCUGAAAUCAGUCGAAGAUACCAGCUGGCUGCAACUGUUUAUUAAAAACACAGCACUGUGCAAACACGAAAGUGGACGUAUACGGUGUGACGCCUGCCCGGUGCCGGAAGGUUAAUUGAUGGGGUCAGCGCAAGCGAAGCUCUUGAUCGAAGCCCCGGUAAACGGCGGCCGUAACUAUAACGGUCCUAAGGUAGCGAAAUUCCUUGUCGGGUAAGUUCCGACCUGCACGAAUGGCGUAAUGAUGGCCAGGCUGUCUCCACCCGAGACUCAGUGAAAUUGAACUCGCUGUGAAGAUGCAGUGUACCCGCGGCAAGACGGAAAGACCCCGUGAACCUUUACUAUAGCUUGACACUGAACAUUGAGCCUUGAUGUGUAGGAUAGGUGGGAGGCUUUGAAGUGUGGACGCCAGUCUGCAUGGAGCCGGCCUUGAAAUACCACCCUUUAAUGUUUGAUGUUCUAACGUGGACCCGUGAUCCGGGUUGCGGACAGUGUCUGGUGGGUAGUUUGACUGGGGCGGUCUCCUCCUAAAGAGUAACGGAGGAGCACGAAGGUUGGCUAAUCCUGGUCGGACAUCAGGAGGUUAGUGCAAUGGCAUAAGCCAGCUUGACUGCGAGCGUGACGGCGCGAGCAGGUGCGAAAGCAGGUCAUAGUGAUCCGGUGGUUCUGAAUGGAAGGGCCAUCGCUCAACGGAUAAAAGGUACUCCGGGGAUAACAGGCUGAUACCGCCCAAGAGUUCAUAUCGACGGCGGUGUUUGGCACCUCGAUGUCGGCUCAUCACAUCCUGGGGCUGAAGUAGGUCCCAAGGGUAUGGCUGUUCGCCAUUUAAAGUGGUACGCGAGCUGGGUUUAGAACGUCGUGAGACAGUUCGGUCCC